rnacentral:misc_RNA from 1 species
GGAAGGAUCAUUAACACGCUCGGGUCUCGUGCCCGAUUAUCAAAACAACCUGUGAACCCGUCCUACUUUUCGAUUUUCACAACAACUGAAAAAUCAUACUAAAGUACAUACAACAACCAAAAUACAACUUUUAGCAAUGGAUAUCUUGGUUCCCACAACGAUGAAGAACGCAGCGAAAUGCGAUACGUAAUGCGAAUUGCAGUAUUCGUGAAUCAUCAAAUCUUUGAACGCAAGUUGCGCCCUCGAGAAAGCCUUGAGGGCAUGCCUCUUUGAGUAUCGGUUACCAUACCUUCCGACUACGCCACCGUGCGUGCGAGGAGAGAAUGAGCCUAUUCUGUGCGGGAUUGGCUUCAAGUCUAUGGAGUUACGUUUCGAUUUCUUGGGAACAUUAAAUCUGAACUUCCAUUUUGCUGACUGGGCUAGCGCCCGGUCACACACACACACAACACAGAUCUCAAAUGAGGUAAGACUACCCGCUGAAUUUAAGCAUAUAAUUAAGCGGAGGAAAAGAAACUAACAAGGAUAGCAUCAGUAACGGCGAGUGAAGCUGCUAGAGCUCAAACCUGAAAUCUCUGUCCUCGGGCAGCGAGUUGUGGUCUAUUGAGGCGUGUCUCAGUGGCGGCCCCGGUCUAAAUCGAUUGGAACAUCGUAUCAGAGAGGGUGAGAAUCCCGUCUUUGGCUGGGUGCCCGUCGCGUACGAGCCGUCUUCGAAGAGUCGGAUUGCUUGGGAGUGCAGUCCUAAGUGGGUGGUAAAUUUCAUCUAAAGCUAAAUACAUGUGGGAGACCGAUAGCGAACAAGUACCGUGAGGGAAAGAUGAAAAGAACUUUGAAAAGAGAGUUAAAAAGUACUUGAAAUUGCUGAGAACGAAGGGAUGGCGACUAGUAAUAGUCAUGGUGGCCCCUGUGGUGGCUGUCAACGGCGGGCGUCGGAUUGCUUGUCUUCCGCGUUCGAAAUAGACUGGGCCGCAGGAUCCUGUCACUGUGAACUUUGGUCAGAAUGGAUUCGCUUCCGUUGAAAUGGCCGUCGGGAAGGUAACUGCUCCGGCAGAACUUAUAGCCCGGCGGUUUUGAACGGUCGUGGAUCGAGGCGCUGAAGCAUUCUCUGAGAUUCACCUGUCGCUGUUUGUCGUCCGCGUUUGGGGAACAAAGUUCCGUCUGCGUUGGGCGGUGGCACUCGGCGGGAUGAUCAUCUGUCUGCUCACGAUUCUGACGAAAUGGUCGUCAUUCACCCGUCUUGAAACACGGACCAAGGAGUCUUACAUCUAUGCGAGUAAUCAAGUGGAAAACUUGCUUGCGAAAUGAAAGUGAAUGAGUGUGACCCGCAAGGGGCAACACCGGGCGGCUAAGAUAAUUGUACGACCAUGAGCAUAUCUGUAGGGACCCGAAAGAUGGUGAACUAUGCUUGAGCAGGAUGAAGCCAGGGGAAACUCUGGUGGAAGUCCGAAGCGAUACUGACGUGCAAAUCGUUCGUCUGACUUGAGUAUAGGGGCGAAAGACUAAUCGAACUAUCUAGUAGCUGGUUCCCUC